rnacentral:snoRNA from 1 species
ACGACCUUACUUGAACAGGAUCUGUUCUAUAGGAUCGUACCUCUGUAUCCUUGAGUUCUAAGGAGACAGGAAACUAAGUCUGGUGGAUGAA